ensembl:snoRNA
UGGAUCUGUGAUGACCCGUGGUGCCGUAUGAGCUGUGGAUCAUGACUACAGGUCUGGGAGACUGAGGUCCAC